GCCUGACCUUUUAUUACCCAAGCUCUGCUUCCGUGGCUCGUCCUGUGACGCAGGAAGGGACUGGGUCCGAACAGGGUUCCUUCCUUUAGGGAAGAACGAGGUGCAAGAGGGAUGGCUUGUCUCUGGCCACAAAGCUCUGUGUUGCAUCCAAGUUCCAGCUCCUUUUAUUGGCAAAGGGCCUCAAGCGACAACAAGGGUGGGUUUGAACCAAUGGAGAGUCUGAAUUUCCCUCUUAAUUUGAGGAAAUCAGUGACUUUGGAUGAAAACAUGGAGAACAAGGGGACCGUGGAAGCAACAUUUUCAAGAUGUCAGAGCCUCCAUCAGCUGGGCCCUCAGUGAGCACCCCUCCACCCUGGGAACCACUUUAUCCUUUUAUGUGAGUGAAGAAUAAACCUGUACUGCACUUGUGACACUGAACUUCUUGAGGCCUACAAGUAACAUCAAUUAGCCCAGCUCACCUAAUUCAACAUGUAUAAUGUGAAUCGUCUAAAAUGCCAACAAGUUUAUCAUUUGAUUUUAAAGGAUAUUACCAAAAAUUUGAAUGAAGCUUUUGUAGCAAAGAAAGAUAUUUGUUACAGCAAGAGUUUUGAUUGUUCUUACAUCUUUUCCUGUUGCUUAUGCUGCAAACUGAUGUGUUUUCAAUAUCCCAAGGAUCUAGGAAGGAAAGGAAAAUACAACCAGUAAUCUAUAUCUAAAAGAGUAGUAAAUCUUACGACUACUCACACUGUAGACAGGAUUUGGACUAUAAAGACACAAUGAUGAUCAUUUCUGUCUCUUCCUGUCUAAAGGAAGUGAGCUCUACCAAAUGGAGCAAAGGCCCCCCCAGUCCUUUAGCCCUAAUUACAAAGUCAAAGAAGUUUUGAAAGCCAAUAUUUUUUCACAGGUUUGUACUAACUAGUUUGGCAAUGAAUCUGGACUUCAGCUGCCAUGAGUCCAAUAAAAUAUUUAUCACA